rnacentral:tRNA from 1 species
ACUUAAAUAGUAUAAAUAUUAUUUUUGACUUCCAAUCAAAAGAUCUAAAUUCUAGUUUAAGUA